rnacentral:rRNA from 1 species
GAUGAACGCUGGCGGCAUGCCUAAUACAUGCAAGUCGAGCGAAGCGGGGACGGGCGGGUAACACGUGGAUAACCUCCUAUAAGACUGGGAUAACUUCGGGAAACCGGAGCUACACCGCAUACUUAUAGAUGGAUCCGCGUGGCAUUAGCUAGUUGGUAAGGUAACGGUUUACCAAGGCAACGAUGCCUAGCCGGCCUGAGAGUGUGAGCGGCAACACUGGAACUGAGACACGCUCCAGAAUCCUACGGGAGGCAGCAGUAGGGAAUCUGCCGCAAUGGGCGGAAGCCUGACGGAGCAACGCCGCUUGAGUGAUGAAGGUCUUCGGAUCGUAAAACGCUGUUAUUGAGGAGGCGGUACCUAAUCAGAAAGCCACGGCUAACUACGUGCCAGCCGCCGCGGUAAUAC